GGAUAGCCAAGGCUCUUUGGGAUUGAAACUACACAAGUGCAGCCUGCCUGGAUGCCACAGAUUGCAGUGGGAGCCCCUUCUUUCUCGGAAAGCCUGGAGAACACUCCAGGAGCAGAACAGGAGCAGAACACUGCCUUUGGGAGAGGGCAGGGAGCUGCACUCCACUCCCACCCAGCAGCUGUGACCCUGCUGUGAGCAUCCAUCAUGAGGAGUGUAUGGAAAGGGCUGAGGAAAACACCAAGUUCAGCAGUUGACCACUUUAUAAAGUAUCAGCAUAGAAAUCCUGUCUAAACCAUGUAUGUUUUUGUGUAUUAACCUACAGCAGCCCUGAAACAGGAUCACAGCUGCACCCAGUUCAAAUGCCCAGAAUUUUAGUGACUGAUAACGACGUCUGGGAAGAGGUUUCCCUUACAGCAAUUUUGAAUUUCAGUACUGCUCUGAACAAACUCUGGAAAUCUUCCUGAGGCAGAAAACCAACAUUCAGUAGGAUCUUCCAAGAUUUAUGUUGCUGACCCAGCUUGCAUUACCAGGGGACAGAACAUAGCUGUAUCAGAUAGGGAUCCUGAUCAGAGAACACACAGCUACAUCUGGGGUCUGUGCCAGCACAGCCAUUCCAGCACAGCCUCCAAAGGAGAAACUCAGCUUCCAUCACUGCUUGUCCUGUCUGCUCCUGUUUAGCUUCAUAGCCCCACACUGGCUCAAAAACGUGCAUUUAUCUAAAAUAAAGUUGGAGCUUUGGAUUUCACUUGGCUCGUGAAGUUUGGUCCCACCCACUUUUAUUUGUUUGAUUUUUUUUAUGUAUACAUAUACAUGCAUAUGUAUACAUGUGCAUUCACACAUACACAGAAAUAUACAAUGAUAAAGACAGAAUACAGGAUUUAAAACGUUUUCCAGGUGGUUUUCAGGCCCAACAGCUGAGAGUCUUUUUUUUUUUUUUUUCUUUCUAAAGUACUAAGAGGAUAAAUAUUGCCAUUUAAAAAAUAAACUUCCUCAAAAUUGUCCUUUCUGCUCUGAAAGACCAUCUUGUUCUUUAGGUGAUUUAUGAUAUCAAUCUGUAACUACACGUGUAUUGUUCAGAGUGUUCAGCAAACAAGACGUGAGUGUUUGAAAUACUUCAGGGCAGGAAGAGGCACAAAACAUCGAAGCAGCCUCCCAGUUCUAGCACGGGCACUUGAAACCCAGUGUCUUCUUUCCUGUUAAUACAUCUCAGGCUGUCAUUGCCUCUUCAUUUCCACAUAAACGAGCAUUGACAGGCCAGCUAAGCCAGGCAUUUGCUGUGCAGAGACCAAAACCAGCUCAAGUUGAGUACAUUCCCACUUUUUAAAGUGUUCGGCCAUUGGCCAGCUGGGCCAAAAUAUUCUGAUUUUUUUUUUUUUUAAGUGAAUGAUUGAUUGAUGCCCAGAAAACAUUUCAAAGUAGGAAUGUGGGCCAAGUAAAAUGCAGCAGCAUGAUGAAUGUUGGGAGAUUGGUGUACCAUGAGUGUGGAAACCACCAUUUGGUGGCAGGGUUGGUCCAGCCCUUUCCCUGGCCAGUUAAAUCCUGGAGGUUCCCAUCACGGACCUGCUGCCUGAGGAAACCAAUUUCUGUUUCAAGGGGCUGGGAUGGGAAGGUCUCCAGAGAGAAGAGCAAAAAAGUUAGCUGUAAAAGACAGGAGCCCUGAGAGUAUUAUGGGAAUCCUGAAGUCUAUAGCCUGAGGGUUUCUGGGCAAGAGGGGAGACCCAUCCCACUGCAAGACCAGCCAUGUCAGGGAGAAAACAAGACAGUGGGAAAGGAGAAAGAGAGGAGUAAAAAGGAGAUCUGGUAAUUUGCUUAGAGAACCAAGGAAUAAUCUAGGCUGGGAGGCACUUCUGGGACAAGUCAAUCCCACUUUGAGUUGGACAGAGAUCAAAUUGCUCAGGGACUUGUUCAGUCCAGCCUUCAACAUCUCUGAGGAUGGGAAAUCCCACAGCCGCUCUGGGUGACUUGUGCUAUAUUUGACCACUGUCAUGGUAAAAAAUUUUUUGGCCUUAUAUCUAACUGGAAUUUUCCAUGUUCCAACUUGUGACAUUAGAGGGCACAUCCCUGCUCGCACCUUUUGUUUAUGAAUUUGUAAUCCCUGGCUCUGCUGGCACUCCUUGUCUCCACAGCCUUCUAAAGCAACAAACUCCCCAAGCUGAGUACCAGCUAUGCAAGAAAGGCUAAUCCUGGUGGUCUAGGCCAAGAAUGACCUUGGGGUGGUGGCAGAGAGAUGGACAACAGAUAGUUCUCUCUUCACACAUCUUCUUCCUCUGUUGGCCUGCUUUCCCAUCACGACCUAUUUUCUAGCUUGGAGCUCUGGGAUCCACAGUUCCACAAGCAUUUGAUUUGCCUGAAGAAUAUUGCAAAUGUUAUUAAUUUCAUCAGUGACUGAUUUGCAUAAAUUUGUUCAGCCAGCACUACAAUAGCUCUUUCUGGCCAAGUCUGAAUGAGUUACACGUCUAAUAUUACAUAUUUCACAAAUGUUAUAUGUGUAUUACCUACGUGCACAUGUGCUUAUACAUACAUUCAUCACCUCGAUACAUCCUUUCAUGUCAGGUAUGCGAAUUAUUUUGUUUAUGAGAAACAAAGUUCCCUCCCUGCGCCAGGAUUAAGACCUGCGUUCCUUUCCUGCCUCUCCUUGGGAUCCCAUGUGAUCUGGCCAAGUCAUUUCAUGUCUCUGUGCCUCUGUCUCCCGUUUGGGGAGCAGGGGCAGUGCUCGGGGAGAAACCGUGGAUCGCUCUCCUCGGAGAAGAGCAGGGAUGUGUCAUUCUCUGCAGAACAAUGGCACUUCUGACAUUCCUAAUGCCAUGGCAAUAUGAAUAUUCAAAGCAGCAGGGCCUUUGUUAGAGAUCCUGAUUAAUUGGUGAUUAAUAUCACUGUCAUUUCCUUAGAAUAAUGUGUGCUGUGCUCUUAUCUGGAGAAAAGGGGAGGAGAGAGGGGGAAAGAGAGUUCCUGAGUGCACCGGUACACGGGCUUCAGGCAAAGCCUGCGGACUCCAUUAAGGACAAACACUGCUUCCCAAACUGUCCCUAUUCCUGUGACAUUUACACUGCUCAGGCCCAUGUACUCAACACUCAGCUCCAGGAGCCCUCUCUGAUUCCCAAGUGCUGGUGGUGUAAAGUGUCAAACCCACCAAACUCCAGGAUGAUAAUUACAGACUGCAGCUAUUUUCA